rnacentral:misc_RNA from 1 species
UACGAGGGGUCCUAGCGUUGCUCAGAAUCAUUGGGCGUAAAGCGGAUGUAGGCGGAUUGCUAAGUCAGAUGUGAAAGUCCUGGGCUCAACCCAGGAAGUGCAUUUGAUACUGGUGAUCUUGAGUGCAGUAGAGGAAGGUAGAAUUCCAAGUGUAGUGGUGAAAUACGUAGAUAUUUGGAGGAACACCGGUGGCGAAGGCGGCCUUCUGGACUGUUACUGACGCUGAGAUCCGAAAGCGUGGGGAUCAAACAGG